CAAGGGAUUUUGAAGGAGCUAAAAGUUGUGGUGCUUGUUGAUUCCUCUGUCCUGUCCUCUCCACCCCAACCGGUCGAGGCAGAUGG